GGUUUGAUUAUGGCUCAGAUUGAACGCUGGCGGGAUGCUUUACACAUGUCGAACCGGCAGCACGGACUUCGGUCUGGUGUGGCGAGUGGCGAACGGGUGAGUACCGUAUCGGAACGUGCCUAGUAGCGGGGAUAACUACGCGAAAGGUAGCUAAUACCGCAAUACGCCCUUCGGGGGAAAGCGGGGACCUUCACCUGCACUAUUAGGAGCGGCCGAUAUCGGACUAAUGGCUGGCGGGGGUAACCGGGGCUCACUGCUGGGGCGACGAUCCGUGGCCGGUUUGAGAGGACGACCAGCCACACUGGGACUGAGACACGGCCCAGAGCUCCUACGGAGGCAGCAAGGGGGAAUUUUGGACAAUGGGGAAACCCUGAUCCAGCCAUCCGCGUGUGCGAUGAAGGCCUUCGGGUUGUAAAGCACCUUUGGCAGAGAAACGGUACGAUAAUACCCGCAACCUGACGGUACCUGCAGAAUAAGCACCGGCUAACUACGUGCCAGCAGCCGCGGCAAUACGUAGGGUGCAAGCGUUAAUCGGAAUUACUGGGCGUAAAGCGUGCGCAGGCGGUUCGGAAAGAAAGCAGGAAUCCCAGAGCUUAACUUUGGAACUGCAUUUUUAACUACUGGAGCGAGUGUCAGAGGGAGGUGGAAUUCCGCGUAGCAGUGAAACGGUGUAGAUAUGGCGGAGGUACACUGAUGGCGAAGGCAGCCUCCUGGGAUAACACUGACGCUCAUGCAUCGAAAGCGGGGAGCAAACAGGAUUAGAUACCCUGGUAGUCCACGCCCCAAACGAUGUCAACUAGCUGUUGGGGCCUUCGGGCCUUGGUAGCGCAGCUAAUGUGAAGUUGACCGCCUGGGGAGUACGGUCGCAGAUUAAAACUCAAAGGAAUUGACGUGGACCCGCACAAGCGGUGGAUGAUGUGGAUUAACGAUGCAACGCGAAAAAACCUCACUGUCUUUGACAUAAACGGAAUCCUGAAUAGAUUUGGGAGUGCUCGCAGAGAACUUGAACACAGGUGCUGGCAUGGCUGUCGUCAGCUCGUGUCGUGAUGUUGGGUUAAGUCCCGCAACGAGCGCAACCUUGUCAUUAGUUGCUACGAAGCGCACUCUAAUGAGACUGCCGGUGACAAACCGGAGGAAGGUGGGGAUGACGUCAAGUCCUCAUGGCCCCGCGGGUAGGGCUUCACACGUCAUACAAUGGUCAGACAGAGGGUCGCCAACCCGCGAGGGGGAGCCAAUCCCAGAAACCCGAUCGUAGUCCGGAUCGCAGUCGUAACCUCGACUGCGUGGAAGUCGGAAUCGCUAGUAAUCGCGGAUCAGCAUGUCGCGGUGAAUACGUUCCCGGGUCUUGUGCACGACCCCUGCCCGCUCAUGACCAUGGGGAUGGUUUUACCAGAAGCAGUUAGCCUAACCGCGAGGGCGAUUACCACGGUAGGAUUCAUGACUGGGGUGAAGUCGUAACAAGGUAG
rnacentral:rRNA from 1 species